UCCCUGGUGCUCUAGUGGUUAGGACUUGGCACUUUUACUGCUGGGGUCCGGGUUCAGUCCCUGGUCAGGGAA
rnacentral:tRNA from 1 species